GAAAAAACGUUGAAGAGAAGAGUAAUUUUCCUUAGUACAUUUAAAGAGACCUUCGGUGGCUGCAAAGAAGGAUGGAAAGAGAAAAUGAAGAUGAGCUCUGAAGUUGAUCGUUAGUGCAAGCUGAUGAUCCGCCGAUUGCGAUACCAUCACGGUCUUGUUUGAGACUAAGCGGCUAUUAUGAUAUCUAAAAGUAAUAGCAAUUAAGGUGGUACCACGGGUUUUCGUCCUUUGU
rnacentral:ncRNA from 1 species